UGUUGACAGUUCUGUAAGUCACUUUGGAUAAAAGAGUCUGCUAAAUGACCAUAU
rfam:Salmo salar isolate Sally breed double haploid chromosome ssa23, whole genome shotgun sequence.